GUAGGUGGCAAGCGUUGUCCGGAAUUAUUGGGCGUAAAGCGCGCGCAGGCGGUUCUUUAAGUCUGAUGUGAAAGCCCACGGCUCAACCGUGGAGGGUCAUUGGAAACUGGAGAACUUGAGUACAGAAGAGGAAAGCGGAAUCCCACGUGUAGCGGUGAAAUGCGUAGAGAUGUGGAGGAACACCAGUGGCGAAGGCGGCUUUCUGGUCUGUAACUGACGCUGAGGCGCGAAAGCGUGGGGAGCAAACAGGGAUUAGAUACCCUAGUAGUCCACGCCGUAAACGAUGAGUGCUAAGUGUUAGGGGGUUUCCCGCCCCUUAGUGCUGCAGCUAACGCAUUAAGCACUCCGCCUGGGGAGUACGGCCGCAAGGCUG
rnacentral:rRNA from 1 species